CCGCUGCGGGGGGAGGCUCCGGGCGCGCGGCAGAGCCGGCUAUAGAUUGACGUCCACGUUGUGCUACAGAUUAACGUCCACGUUUUGCUCCAGAUCAUUUCAUCCUCCCAGGGGGAAGGAAAUGGCUGCAAUGGAGCUGGCUCAGGAGUUGGUGACUUUCGAGGAGGUGGCUGUGUAUUUCACCAAGGGGG